rnacentral:rRNA from 1 species
CCCUUAGAUGUUCUGGGCCGCACGCGCGCUACACUGAUGCAUUCAACAAGCCUAGCCUUGACCGAGAGGUCCGGGUAAUCUUUGAAACUGCAUCGUGAUGGGGCUAGAUUAUUGCAAUUAUUAAUCUUCAACGAGGAAUGCCUAGUAAGCGUGAUUCAUCAAAUCGCGUUGAUUACGUCCCUGCCCUUUGUACACACCGCCCGUCGCUCCUACCGAUUGAAUGUGUUGGUGAGGAGCUCGGAUUGGCAGCAGUUGGUGGUUCGCCACCAGCUAUUGCUGAGAAGUCCUCCAAACCGCCCCAUUUAGAGGAAGGAGAAGUCGUAACA